rnacentral:rRNA from 1 species
UACGUAGGGUGCAGGCGUUAAUCGGAAUUACUGGGCGUAAAGCGUGCGCAGGCGGUUUGCUAAGAGAGAUGUGAAAUCCCCGGGCUUAACCUGGGAACUGCGUUUCUAACUGGCAGGCUUGAGUGUGGCAGAGGGGGGUGGAAUUCCACGUGGUAGCAGUGAAAUGCGUAGAGAAUGUGGAGGAACACCGAUGGCGAAGGGCAGCCCCCUGGGCUAACACUGACGCCUCAUGCACGAAAGCGUGGGAGCAACA